rnacentral:pre_miRNA from 15 species
AUUAUUGAAUUCCUGAUAUACCGAGAGCCCAGCUGAUUUCGUCUUGGUAAUAAGCUCGUCAUUGAGAUUAUCACCGGGUGUAAAUCAGCUUGGCUCUGGUGUCUCCGAACCUCCUGUCCGCA